UGUCAAAUCUCUUUCCUAGCUUUUGGUGGC
rnacentral:piRNA from 1 species